rnacentral:rRNA from 1 species
AUUGAACGCUGGCGGCAGGCCUAACACAUGCAAGUCGAGCGGAUGAAGAGAGCUUGCUCUCUGAUUUAGCGGCGGACGGGUGAGUAAUGCCUAGGAAUCUGCCUGGUAGUGGGGGAUAACGUCCGGAAACGGGCGCUAAUACCGCAUACGUCCUACGGGAGAAAGCAGGGGACCUUCGGGCCUUGCGCUAUCAGAUGAGCCUAGGUCGGAUUAGCUAGUUGGUGAGGUAAUGGCUCACCAAGGCUACGAUCCGUAACUGGUCUGAGAGGAUGAACAGUCACCCUGGAACUGAGACACGGUCCAGACUCCUACGGGAGGCAGCAGUGGGGAAUAUUGGGCAAUGGGAGAAAGCCUGAUCCAGCCAUGACGCGUGUGUGAAGAAGGUCUUCGGAUUGUAAAGCGCUUUAAGUUGGGAGGAAGGGCAGUAAGUUAAUACCUUGCUGUUUUGACGUUACCGACAGAAUAAGCACCGGCUAACUUCGUGCCAGCAGCCGCAGUAAGAC